GCUGGCAAGCACAAGUGGCAAAUCAAGCAUCAAGUUCAUGCCAUCUUGUGAUUGUAAAUGUUUUGUCAUUAUUUUAUGUGUAAUUUGUUUACGUUUUUAGUUUUUUUAUAAUACGGUAAAAUACUAAUCUAGAAUAAAAUGUUCGCAUAGUUGUAUAACAUUAUGUCGAAUAUGUUAUUUGUUUAAUAUUGCAGUACCGUUCAACGGUGGGUCACGGUCCAAAUUCUAGUCAAUCAUUUUUUCAACGAGCAUCUGAUUGAAUAAAAUGUUGUCAGCUAUAAAAAGGCUUGCUGGAAAAACUGAAAAUGGCAUUGUGCCAGGUACCAGCCCAGGACAUCAAACCAUGUCUCAAAAUCUUCAAAGAAAAUUUGCAAAAGGAGUUCAGUAUAAUAUGAAAAUCAUUAUCAAAGGAGACAGAAAUACUGGAAAAUCUUGUCUGUUCAACCGAUUACAAGGAAAGAAGUUUGUUGAAGAAUACACUCAAACUGAGGAAAUUCAGGUUGCCAGCAUACAGUGGAACUACAAAGCGGCCGAUGACGUUGUAAAAGUGGAGGUGUGGGAUGUGGUGGACAAGGGCAAGAAGCGCAUUCCGAUCGAGGGCCUGAAGCUGGGCGGGGCCGCCGCCUUGGGGGUUGUCCCGGAACAGGCGCCCGCCCUCGACGCCGAGUUCCUCGAUGUGUUCAAAGGAACCAACGGCGUUAUUCUCACCAUGGAUAUCACUAAAACAUGGACAUUCGAUUACGUCCAAAGAGAACUGCCGAAAAUCCCCGAGCACAUUCCUGUACUAGUUCUUGGAAAUCACUGUGAUAUGGCGCAUCAUAGAACUGUCACGGCAGACCAUGUACUCUAUUUUAUUGAGUCCAUCCAAAGGCCAAAAGGUGGCGCUCAAAUUCGCUACACAGAGUCAUCGAUGAGUAACGGCUUCGGCCUGAAAUACAUUCACAAAUUCUUCUGUCUGCCGUUUCUUCAGCUGCAGCGUGAAACUCUGCUUGGUCUUCUGGAAAGAAAUAAAACCGAAGCUGAAAUCACCGUCCACGAGCUUGAUAUCUAUCAGGAGAGCGAAGAUGCCGAUUAUGACAGGUUUUUGGACCAGCUGACCAGUAAACGGCGACAAAUGGCCGAGUCGCAUGGGCAGGCGGCGCUCGUCCAAAGCCAGAGCUCGCACAGCUUUGGCGCGCAUGCGCAGAACAGCUCAGCCACGCAUGCGCAGAACAGCUUAGCCCAGGGUGGCCAACUAUCCAGCAGCGACCUGGCCGCGAAGGCACGUAGCCUGUCAAUGCCUGACGUGAAGCCUGUCACGGUGACGUCAUCACCCGCCGUGAAGCCUGUCUCGGUGACGUCAUCAUCCAACCCUUCCACACCGCAGCCACCCACCCCUCGGCCCACCACCAACCCUCUGCCGCUGGCCAGCAACGGCCAGCCGAUUGUCGAGCCCGUAGCUGCCAACGGAAUCAUGGCCAAGUUUUUCGGCAAAAAGGAUGGCGGAGAUGAUAGAACAGGCCAUCCAGCAGCUCUAGUCCUGGAUGGAGUGUUGGACAUGUCGGUGAAAAGCGUAGAAGAAUUUGUGCCAGAUGGUGGUGAACUGGAUAACUCGUUUCUGGAAGAGAACCAUCAAAGUCAACUCAGCUCAAAUGCAGCGUCUGCGCUCAAAAAUGCUGAUGCGGUUGAUUCUGACAGCGAUACAGAAACAACCGGCAAUCCUUUGGUGACUGGAUUCCAAGAUGAUCUCGAUCCUGACGAAAUCAGUGUAACGGAACACAUUCGUCCUGUACCUGCCACCUCCGUCAGACCUCCUACAAUAAAUGAACCAGAAAAGGAGGCCAAAUCAUCAGAGGUGAAGUCGGACAAAGAUGAAGAGCUGGAAGAGAUGAAGAUCAGUGAGGAUGUGCUGGACGACUGGAUGACGCGACGAGUGAGUCCCACAGGACGUGUGAGUCCCGAGGGAGGGGAGGACAGCGCUCCUCAGGGCAUCGAGGUCACCAAGAUGCUAUCAACUGGCAACGAAAAGAACGGAGACAGGGAUAAAAGUUCGAGUCGGUCAAAGCAGCAGAGGUGAAGUCGGACAAAGAUGAAGAGCUGGAAGAGAUGAAGAUCAGUGAGGAUGUGCUGGACGACUGGAUGACGCGACGAGUGAGUCCCACAGGACGUGUGAGUCCCGAGGGAGGGGAGGACAGCGCUCCUCAGGGCAUCGAGGUCACCAAGAUGCUAUCAACUGGCAACGAAAAGAACGGAGACAGGGAUAAAAGUUCGAGUCGGUCAAAGCAGCAUAAAAAGAAGUCGAGCAAAGAGAAAUCGAGUGAUAAAGAUAAGCAACGAAGUGAGAAGAGCAGCAAAGAAGAACGAAGAUCGAAAAAGAAGAAAGCAUCCUCGAAAUCAAGCAAUCACUCAGGUUCAGGCGAAGGACAUGACCAGCUUGAAGAUUUCCUCAAUUCCAACAAUAAUGGAUACGAAGUAUUCUAAUUGCUGGCCAGUGUACAGCCGAUGAGAUAUUACAAAUCAAACUUAGAAUUUUAAAACCUGUUAUAUUUAAUAGGAAAAUCAUGUAUUU
rnacentral:misc_RNA from 1 species